ACUCUGAUGCAGCAACGCCGCGUGGAGGAUGACGCAUUUCGGUGUGUAAACUCCUUUUAAGAGGGAAGAUUAUGACGGUACCUCUUGAAUAAGCACCGGCUAACUCCGUGCCAGCAGCCGCGGUAAUA
rnacentral:rRNA from 1 species